rnacentral:sRNA from 1 species
CUUUAGCCCCGAUUGAAGAGGAAAUCCUUUUUUAUUGUUUUGUACUUCGACUCCCGAAGUCUCGGGACAGCAUGACAAAACAAUAAAAAAGAUUGCAACGAAAAGCGGGAAAUACC